rnacentral:tRNA from 1 species
GCCGGUGUAGCUCAACGGGUAGAGCAACUGACUUGUAAUCAGUAGGUUGGGGGUUCAAGUCCUCUCGCCGGCACCA